rnacentral:rRNA from 1 species
GAUGAACGCUGGCGGCGUGGAUAAUACAUGCAAGUCGAACGAAGCUGUUUUAACUGGUGCUUGCACCGACUUAAACAACCGAGUGGCGAACGGGUGAGUAACACGUGGGUAACCUGCCCCAAAGCGGGGGAUAACAUUUGGAAACAGAUGCUAAUACCGCAUAACCACAGAAACCACAUGGUUUCUGUGUCAAAGAUGGUUUCGGCUAUCACUUUGGGAUGGACCCGCGGCGUAUUAGCUAGUUGGUAAGGUAAUGGCUUACCAAGGCAAUGAUACGUAGCCGAACUGAGAGGUUGAGCGGCCAGAUUGGGACUGAGACACGGCCCAAACUCCUACGGGAGGCAGCAGUAGGGAAUCUUCCACAAUGGACGAAAAUCUGAUGGAGCAACGCCGCGUGAGUGAAGAAGGUUUUCGGAUCGUAAAACUCUGUUGUCAGAGAAGAACGUGUGCGAGAGUAACUGUUCGUGCAGUGACGGUAUCUGGCCAGAAAGCCACAGCUAACUACGUGCCAGCAGCCGCCGUAA